AAUUAAGUCCUCCACCCCCACCCCCAGUCUCAGUCUGGCUGUCUCGAGUCGGAGCUGGAGUCCACACAGAGUUCUCUACAUUUGGUGCAACAGCUCAAAUGGAAACUAGAGCACAAGAUCAGAAUAAAGCUCCCACACAUGGCCUUAUGACUGUUGCCCCAGUGAAGAACCCGAGGUCCAGCCUUCCCCACUCAAGGAAGAGACAAGAGUGACUGUAUUCCAAGUAGAACAAUGCACGGGAGGCCUGUGAAUUUUGGCAGUGUGAUUUGGAACUGUAUAGUACAUAAUAAGACUCUAUUGAGCUCUUCUAACCUUAUUAAAUAGCUAACAUGGAAAGCAUUUCUGAAAAUUAAGUAACAUGUAAAAAUGAACGUGACAUGUCUUUAAGGGUGAUUGCAAGCCUUUAAAAAGUCUUAAAUUGUCUUAAAUUUAUUUUUGUUCAUAAAAUUGUCUAAUACAUCAUGACAGUUGAAUAUAUCAUGGUGUAUUUAUCUGUGGUUACAAUGCGUUUGUAUUUAAAUGGUAAAAGCCCGCAAUGUGUCCUUUUCUUGGACCAAAAUAAACAUUUGGACAAAUGUCAAUGUUGUCGUUUUAGAUCAUUGUAAAAAUGUCAAGUAGCUGAGAGUACAACUUUCCUGUGCUUACUUGUGUGGCAAACUGUCUUAAAUGUUAUUCUAAGAAUCAUUUAAAAUGUCUAAAAAGCCUUAAAUUUAACUUGCUAAUGCCUGCAGACAUCCUACUUUAAUAUGUGGGGGAUCCUACCUUAAAUGUAGUUCACCACUUGAAAAAGACAAAAAUACUCAACACUGUUAUAAUGUUGAAAUCAUUGGUCUAUGGUUAUUACUGUCCUGAAACUACAACAAUGCAAGACAAUGUAUAUUUUAUUGACAAGCAGUUUUGGGUGUUUUAAUUUAGUUCUUGUGCACGUCAAUCUGUUGACAUUGUAAUGAUGGUAAUGCCAUCAUUUUAUCAGAAAAAUACUAGGGAGGAUGUAGUCAUGAUAUUCUGUCAAUAUGCUGCAGUUGAUGCUUAUGAUGGUGGCGGAAGUGAUUAUGGUGAUGAGGAGGUACUGUAUAUUAUACUAGCACUUUGGGGGACCUGCUAUGGACAUUGCACUAGUGCAAGUCACCCUUUUUAUGUUCUUUUUGUAUCUAGUUUUGUAUGUUUGUCUCGUCUUCUACCAUAAUUAUGCUUGCUUCAGCACAUAUUGGCUGCCUAGAAAUGUAACUUGAACCUGAUCUCAAUGGUAUUCUAUACAAUGACAGUAAAGGCUUCUGUUGGUGUAAACUUGUCAUGUAGCUUGCAACAUUCAUCAAAACGGUAUUCAGCGCCUUAAAUUUUUCUCACAGUGCCUCAACCAAAUGAACAGGGAAAAACAAUGCUGAGAGUUCUCAACCACGUUUUGGUGUAAUUUCUGGUCGCCUCUUCCCUCUCUCCUCUCCUCUCUGUUUCUGGGUGCGUUUGUAAAUUCACUCUGAAAAUCUGUUCUGAUUUCAGAGCACUUAAUUUUAGAACGGGGACGCUCUGAGCGCUCUGAAUUUCCGAACGAUCAGAGAGCACCCAGGGUGCUCAGAGCGUAUUUACAA